AUAAAACCGGACUCGCUCAUACAAACUCCUUCGCUAAUAGUUCUUAGCGAGAACCCCCAAAUUUCAUGGUACUACUAAGCCUGUCCAACGAGAGAGAAAUUCGUCGCUCGUCGUGCGAGAGAAGACGUCCUACUCCUUCACCCUCGUCAUGCUCGCCCUCCUUUGCGUCCUGCGUGCCCUCCUCUACAACCUGCUGGCCCUCCUCUGCUCCUUGUCAGUGAUAAAAAAACGGAGGAAAGAAGCAUUCUUUUCAGAGUUGGGCAAAACAUCUUCAAAGGUGCAGUGGAUGGUGAAGGGCCAGCCUGGGCUCUCUUAAGAGAUAAUUACAUUCUCACAAAUCCCAAAUUGAAAGACUAGAAUAUGAUGCCAGACAUCGUUGUGGAAGAUGACAUUGGAAGGGUGGCUGGAUAUAGUUACGAUGACGAUUGAUGUUAUGGAAUUGCACAAAUGGCUAUGUGCUGAUUAUUUCCUAGGCAUACUUUUUGUAAACAUGACAUGUUAUCCUUGUUCCUACUGCACAGGAGGAAUUUUGUUUUCGAUUUCCAUUAAUGUUAUAAAUGAGUGCUCUAUGAUACAAUUAGCGAAAAUAUCCUGUUUUUCUUGCUCA